CUUGAUUCUUUCAACACCGUGUACCGUCACCGUGCAUGCAUAGCGGGACCCUGUGAUUCAGUCAGCGUAUUGGCAGUGGGCUCACUUGAUUGCAGAUCUGAGAUAUGUGUGCGUGCCGCAACAAGAGGUCAUUCGGAACGCGGCUGGUGGAGAAACACGCACAGCUUGUUGGAAUCCGCGCCCAUAGCCAAUAUUCGCUCUUUCCUAUCCGUGACAGAGGCUGCAAAAAUGACGAUCAAAAAAAGUAAAACCGUCGUUUUUGAAAGACGUGCAGGGGAUUUAACUGCGUUGUAUUGUAUGAAUGAUUGGAUGAUUGCAGUGGUGUUGGCUAUUAUUACCAUGAUGUCUGUAUGGGCCGCACUCAUCAUAUACAGAUACAUACAGACAGAGAGAGGUAAAAGAAGAAGGAAGGUUGAUGACGACACUAUUUUGGAAACUGAAAAGGACGACAAUGAGACGCGAAACGAAGAAGAACAAAUACUAUCCCGUGUCGAGUCAACAGAGGAGGGUGAAGAAGUCGUGCCAGAGACACUGGAGAGCUGGGAUGGAGAGGAAUGGAGGAGAGAGCCAAUGGAAUGGAUUCCAACAACCAAUGAGGAUGUAGAACCCAUUGAGGGGAUCCCAACCACCAAUAAGGAUGUAGAACCCAUUGAGGGGAUCUCAGCAACAACCAAUGAAGGUGUAGAACCCAUUGAGGGGAUCCCAACAAUAACCAUUGAUGAUAUAGAACCCAUUACAAGGAUCCGAACAACAACCAAUGAAGAUUUAGAACCCAUUAAACAGAUCCGAGCACGGACCAAUGAGGAUCUACAACCCAUUAGACGCAUCCGAACACUAACCAAUGAGGAUCUAGAACCCAUUAGACGCAUCCGAACACUAACCAAUGAGGAUCUAGAACCAAUUAGAUGGAUCCGAACAGCAACCAAUGAGGAUCUAGAACCAAUUAGACGGAUCCGAACAGCAACCAAUGAGGAUCUACAACCCAUUAGACGGAUCCGAACAACAACCAAUGAGAGCGAUGGUCCUUACACGUGGGAGUCAUAUGCUGAGUGGCAGAUCGUUGAGGAGUUUCACCUCGGCUCUCAACCUCAACAGCACUGUGAAGGCAUAUGUCAGCACUAUGACGGCUUAUGUCAGGUCUGUGGAGGCUUGUGUCAUUGCAGUGAAUGCUUAUGUCAGUUCUACGAAGGCUUAUGUCAGGACGACGCCGAGUCCCAGACUGACUGUACCGUGGAUCAAGAGGAGCAGGCUUCUACCAGUCACUAUUCCCUCAGUGACAUAAACUAUCAAUCUGGACAUGAGAAGGAUACAGAUGUGUAUAACCAGGACGAGGAGGGUUUGAAGGAAGUUGAACUGAGUGAUGAUUGUCAAUGUGAGAGCACAGAGGAGGAGUCCGAGGUAAACCAUCCACAUGCCUUUGCCAUCAAGCCUCAGAGAGAUCUGGAAGAGCUCAAUGGAAAUCUCCCUGACAUGAUAUUGACUGACUCUGACCUUACAGAACCUGACCAUGUGUGUUAUACAGAGAUACAGGAAGUACAAUACCCAGAUGAUGACAUGACCAGCCAUGUUGCCGCUGAGAUGAUAUUGAGUGGCACUGACCCUACAGAACCCCUGCCUAAACAUCUGUGUGAUACGGAUAAAGAGGAAGUUGAAUGUCCAGAACAUUAUAUGAACAUCCACGUUAACAUCACGCCUCAAGAAAAGAGGCCUGACGUGAUAUUGACCAACACUGACCUUACGGAACCUCGGCCUGAACAUGUGUGUGAUACAGAGAUACAGGAAGUAGAAUACCCCGAUGAUGACAUGACCAGCCAUGUUGUCUUUUCCAACGAGCCUCAGGAAGAGAGGCCGGAGAUGACAUUGACUGACACUGAACAUGUGUCGGAUAAAGAGAGAGAGGAAGUAGAAUAUCCGGAUGAUGAUAGACACAGCCAUGUUGCUUUUGCCAAAGUCCAGGAAAGUGUAAAUCUCCCUGAGAUAGAACCGGAACAUGUGUAUGAGGUGGAGAGAGAGGAAGUGGGAGUAGAAUAUCCAGAUGAGGUAAUCACUGAAGGUCCAGAACAUCUCAGUGAAAACAUCCCAGAGAUUUUGAGUGACACUGACCUCCAAGAACCUGGCAAUUUAUGUGAAGAAGAAAUACAGGAAGUAGAAUGUACAAGUGAUUAUAUGGACAGCCAGGUUUCCUUUGUCAGCGACACUCAGGAAUCAGAACAUCCCAAUGAAUAUCUACCUGACAUGAUAUUGACUGACACCAAGACUAAAGAACUUGACCAUGUGUGUGAUACAGAGAUACAGGAUGUAGAAUGCCCAGACGUUGAGGCAAACAAUCAUGUUACCUUUGACAAUGAGCCUCAGGAUGAAAAUCUCCCCGAGGUGGCUUUGAGUGACACUGGCCAUGUGUGUGAUUCAGAGAUACAGGAAGUAGAAUACCCAGGUGCAGACAUGACCAGCCAUGUGCCGUCAGUCUCUGAGAGGACAGUAGAAGACGAUAUGAAAGAAG
rnacentral:lncRNA from 1 species